GGCGGCGGAGGAAAGUUUGGAGCUGCUGCGGAUCCCGGAGGGAUAGUGUCACUGGGCCGGGAAUAAACCGGGAUUAGCGUUUAGGCUCUGCUCUGGUCGUCACCUAAGUUAGGCGUGUGUUGUGCCGAAGACGGUCGCAGCGCGUUGGGAGUUGGCGGGGCAGCUCCUGCAGCUCUGGGUGCGUGAGGUGACCAAACCCACGGCAGAGCUGGCAUCCCCCCAUGUGCAAAGCCCAUUGGUCAGCCCCCACCCUGCCCUGGCUUUAAAAUGAGGUACGGAGUGCAAUCUGAAUCAGCUGACAAAUGAACACAUCCUGAGGUGGCCGUGGUGGCUUCUGUCAGCUGAGUACAGCAGAUCCAGCACCAGCAGUGUCUUAUAGUGAGAUUGCACUCCAUUGGCUUUGACCUGAAACAAGGAUGUAACUUAGUAAAAGUUUUACUGACUAUUCCCUCCCACCGCCCUCCUCGAAGCAGCAAAUGGGACUUUAGAUAAAAGCCUUGUCACAGCAGGAGGAUUAAACCUUGCAAAGGACCUGGACAUUUGUGUGCUUGCUUCUGCUGAUUGCCCACCAGAACUGCAGUCCAGAGGCCCGAGUGAGAUUUGAGGUCUGGGAGAGCCCUUGUCCAGUAUCACCUGACAGUCUCAUCUGGGUCUCUCCAAGAUCCAUCUCAUCUCUGCUGCUCUCACGUUCUGCACAGUGUCUGAUAAAAGCUGCUGUGGAGAGCCUGUGUCGUCAGCUGGGCUUAUUGCCCAGAGCUGGUGCGUGUCCUGUCCUUGCAGGUGUUACGUGUGGGUGGCUGGCCCUGGAAGUUGGCCUUCUUAGCAGAAACUACUUGUUCAAAACCCCAGGUUUGAGAUUUAGCUAGAAUAUAUAACCCAGUGUUUCCUUGUCAGUUUCAGGGAAUUGCAGUCACACAGGAAUC